UGGAGAAGACCCACACCAGCACGAUCAUGAUGGCCGCCCUUUUGGGAGUCCUUUUAGCAGAAUAUUCCACCGCAUCAGUGAUGGCCCAGUAGCGGUCCAGGGCGAUGACACAGAGAUGCAUGAUGGAAGCAGUGCAACAGGUGAUAUCCGACGACAGCCAGAAGUCGCAGACCACCUGGCCUAGUGUCCAGCGUCCAGUGACCGUGUACAUGGUGCUGAUGGGCAUCACCAGGAUGGACACGAGCAGGUGAAAUCAUCAGUGAAGACUCCAGCACUGAACAACCCUUUCCUGUAUAGCGAUAGCCCAUAGCCAGGCUCCUCUCAAACAGCCUCACUAUCUCUGAAAGUUGAAUUUCAAAGCAAAACUCCUGCAAGUAUCAUUUACAAGAAGGAUCUAUGCAAGGUACAAAGCAAAUCUCAAGCAAACUGAAACUGACAGUUAAUCAAAAAAGAUGAUUAAGAAAAUAACUGUAAUCAAAGGAAAUAACUUCUCCAUCAACAAUCAGUGGCUUUCAUCAGAGUAUUAUGUCACAGCAACAGAAGAGAAA
rnacentral:lncRNA from 1 species